GGCGAACGGGUGAGUAACACGUAGGUGAUCUAUCUUUGGGUCUGGGAUAGCCUGUGGAAACACAGGGUAAUACCGGAUACGACCUUACGGUUUCGGCCGUAGGGGGAAAGUCGCUUAGGCGACGUCCGAAGCUGAGCCUGCGGCUCAUUAGCUUGUUGGUAGGGUAAUGGCCUACCAAGGCGACGAUGAGUAGCCGGCCUGAGAGGGUGAUCGGCCACACUGGGACUGAGACACGGCCCAG
rnacentral:rRNA from 1 species